CUCCCAUCUGUCACCCAAGAGUGACAAAUGAAUCAAGCAACUUUCAAACUCUCUUAAAAUAAUUUUCACAGCCCAAACCAGUCCAAGCACUCCAGUCUCAAAUCUCUUUUGCAUUUUCAACGGCCGAUGUGAAAUUAUCUGGAGGAAGGCUGAACCUCUUGCACAUCAAAAUAAAAUCUUUUCUGGCAAAUGCAUUGGCCUAAGAUGCCCCCAUUAAAGGCAAAGGAAUUCACUCUGCAUUAUUCCAGAAGUCACCAGAAGGUCUUUCAGAGACAGAAAAAGAAACCAAAGGCUUCCCUAAAAAAAAUGUGUCAUAAAGUACAACUUUGCUUAUGACUGAAGAGUCAACAAAUUGGCCAUGAAGGUUUUUGACAGGCUGCAUAAAGACUACGUUGUUGGCUGCGAAGGAGAAGAAUUUCUGUCUAUUGCCAAUACAGUAUUUACUCACUUAUGAGUCUUUAAGAUUUCACGUCUCCGCAAUUAGAAGUCAAGAAAAUUUGUAAAGAAAACUCGAUGUGGUGAACUUCAAGAGUGAACAUAGAGUACAUUCAGGUUAGAAUCUCAAACUUUAGAAAGGAUAAUAAUCCUUUUAUGUCCAGGGUUACAUUUGAAAACAUAAACACACACCAAUUUAUUUACAGUUGGUAUAGCUGCCCGACUGUGACUCUGGGUGGCAAAAACAAGUUUAAAACAAUAGGACUUUUUUUCUUAAAGUAAACAUUGUAUUAGUCCCUGAGGAUAAAUUCAAACAAAACAAUGGACAGAAACAAAAACUCUCAAGGGUCCAAACUCAGGCCUGGGAGCACAUUCAUAUUUUCAAUGCUUUGGGAAAAACUUCCCAAGUUGGCCGUUAAUUUCUUUGCUCUUUUCACAGCAGCUACAUUAACAUUUUUUACUGAUUAUAUUCCCCACGUGUAUUAUAAUUGUUAACUAUUUAAUAUAAAUUUAACUUUAUAUUUAAUUUGCACCUAUUUUUUAAUUCUUUUUGGAUUCGCUUUUUAAUUCUUCCUGGCUCACUUUUUGUAAAGUGAAAUGUCUCUCUAUGUCUGAAAAAGAUUAUGCACCCCUAAGAACAUGGAAGCAGGCGACAUAUGGGCUUUUCUCCUCCUCCUCCCCCUCCUCCUCCUCCUCCUCCUCGUUCCUUCCUUCCUUCCUUCCUUCCUUCCUUCCUUCCUUCCUUCCUUCCUUCCUUCCUUCCUCCUUCCUUCUUCUACUCCCCCUACCCUCCCUACUUUUCCUGCAGAAAGAGGAGGAGGAGGAGGAGGAGGAGGAGGAGGAGGAGGAAGAAGGAAGAAGAAGAAGAAGAAGAAGAAGAAGAAGAAGAAGAAGAAGAAGAAGAAGAAGAAGAAGAAGAAGAAGAAGAAGAAGAAGAAGAAAUAUCUAAACGUUUUAAAAACAGCUUUGGUUUUGUAAACUAAAAUACUGAACAUACACAACAAAGUAUAUUGAUAUGUACAGAACAAAGCCUUUUCUCUGUGGACUUUAACAUUUGACUAAAGUCUGAAUAAAGAAAUAUUAGCAAAGUCAUUUGACCCAUUAAUUUUUUUCCUGUAAAAUUUGCAAUCCAUAUAGCUGUGUUUAUGUAACAUAGGACUACCAGAUCUGGAUUGCAAAUAUUUGGAAGCCUACUAGAUGGCAGCAAAGAAAGUUAUCACAUCCUAACCCUUUGGUGCCAUUUAGUGGCCAACCAGAUAAUUUUGGAUCAGUAGAAAAAUUAUAGAUGUCUUUCUUUGGAGGAAAGUUAAGCGUAGAAAAUGAUUAGAAAAUUAUGAGUAAUGUACAGAAGGCCUGGAAGGCAUUGAAAAAAAUGCUAAAACAAACUUUUUAGGAAUAGGCUUUAUGUAAACCAUUGAGCCUUGUCCUUUAAGUUAGUGAGUGGAGAAAGGAUUGAGGAUUCAGUCCAGGGUGAAAUUCAGCAGGUUCUGACAGUCUCUAGAGGACCGAUAGCGGAAAUUUUGAGUAGUCCAGAGAACCAGCAAAUACCACCUCUGGCUGGCCCCAGAGUGAGGUGGGAAUGGAGAUUUUGCAAUAUCCUUCCCCCAGGAGUGGGGUGAGAAUGGAGAUUUUGCAGUAUCCUUCCCCUGCCAUGCCC